rnacentral:rRNA from 1 species
GAAGAUUUUCGGAUCGUAAACUCCUUUCGAUCGGGAAGAAUGGCUGCCGGGUGAAUAUCCUGGCAGAGUGACGGUACCGAGAGAAGAAGCCCCGGCUAACUCCGUGCCAGCAGCCGCGGUAAUACGGGGGGGGCAAGCGUUGUUCGGAAUUACUGGGCGUAAAGGGGUUGUAGGCGGCCAACUAAGUCCGACGUGAAAUCCCAAGGCUUAACCUUGGAACUGCGUCGGAUACUGGAUGGCUUGAAUUCGGGAGAGGGAUGCAGAAUUCCAGGUGUAGCGGUGAAAUGCGUAGAUAUCUGGAGGAAUACCGGUGGCGAAGGCGGCAUCCUGGACCGACAUUGACGCUGAGAACCGAAAGCUAGGGGAGCAAACGGGAUUAGAUACCCCGGUAGUCCUAGCCCUAAACGAUGAAUGCUUGGUGUGGCGGGUAUCGAUCCCUGCCGUGCCGAAGCUAACGCAUUAAGCAUUCCGCCUGGGGAGUACGGUCGCAAGGCUGAAACUCAAA